rnacentral:rRNA from 1 species
GACGAAGGAUUCAAGCGUUGUCCGGAUUUACUGGGAUUAAAGGGUGCGUAGGCGGAAAUAUAAGUCAGUGGUGAAAUCCCGCAGCUCAACUGCGGAACUGCCAUUGAAACUGCAUUUCUUGAAUACGGUUGAGGUAGAUGGAAUGUAACAUGUAGCGGUGAAAUGCUUAGAUAUGUUACAGAACUCCGAUUGCGAAGGCAGUCUACUAAGCCGUUAUUGACGCUGAGGCACGAAAGCGUGGGGAGCAAACAGG